AAUGCUUUGUGCCUUUGUUAUUGAGGUCUUGAUACCUGUUUAAAUAGAUUUUCUCAGAGCAGGUGAAAUUUGAAGCCACUAUUAAUGGCACACAUUUCUCAUGAAAGAAAAAACUGAAGUCAGUUUUAAUCAUGUGGUAGGAAUAUGUGUAAAAGGGAAGAUCAGAAAAGACCAGAGUACUUGGGGGAGCUAAUGAAUUGUAACUCAUGCCACCAAAGAAGUGGCAAAAUUAAGCAAAUGUCAAACAAACAUUUCGUGCUUAAUGAAAACCUUUAGAAGUUUAAUGAUUUUCCCUAGUUCCUAGUUUCUCAAUGACCCUUCAAUUCAGGUUAUGAGAUCAUUUCAUAUGUCAUUCUUUUGUUCUUUCUUUGUGGAAGCCCUUCAAAAGGAAGAGGAUACACCCCAAUUAGUAGAUGAUGAACUAUUUGAAGAAAACUCAGAGGAAUCACAAGUAAAACCUCAAGAAGAAAAUGGAGAUCAGAAUGGCAAGCCAGGCAAAGAGGAAGACAAAGGCAAUGGACAAAAGCAGAGGCCUCAUGACCAGAGUGUCCAGGGAGUCCUUGGAAGCCUAUUUAGCAGAGGUGGCCCACAUCACCCUAGUGGCCAACAGGGCCCAGGAGGCCAACAGGGUUCAGGUGGUCAACAAGCCCAGGUGGUCAACAGGGCCCAGGUGGCCAACACUGUCCAGGUGGCCAACAGGGCCCAGGUAGCCAAGGUGGUCAAGGAAGCCAAUAGGGUCCAGGUGGCCAACAGGGCCCAGGUGACCAACACCGUCCAGGUGGCCAAGGUGGUCAAGGAAGCCAACAGGGUCCAGGUGGCCAACAGGGUCCAGGUGGCCAAGGUGGUCAAGGAAGCCAACAGAGUCCAGAAGGCCAACAAGGUCCUGGUGGUCAACAUGGCCCAGGUAGCCUAGGUGGUCAAGGAAGCCAACAGGGUCCAGGUGGCCAGCAGGGCUCAGGUGGCCAAAGAGACCAGCAGGGAAGAAAUGACUAGCAUGGUCAACAUGGUGGCCAGUGACUAGGAAAACCAACUAAAGAAGACCUCCUUCAAUUCUCUAGGUAUUAAUUCUAUUCGUACUAAUCUAGUAAGAUAGUAAUUUCUUUUGAUAUUUCCUAAUAUCUCUUCUUGUUUCUUCCACUCAGAGUUUUUUUGUUUUGUUAUAUUUUGACUCCCUCAUUCUUAUAUUGGCCUACAGCCUUCCCAAGUUUUACCUCCCUUCCCCUCUUCCUCUUGUCUCCUGUGUUCCCUUCCCUUUACUCUCUCCUGGCCUCCUCCUCUCAUCCUGCUUCUUCUGUUCUCUCUUAACAUGAUAUCCUGUCAUGUCCUCUAGUACCCACUAGUAGAAAUACUGACAUAGAUCAUGUCCAGGUCAAAUUAAUAUUUCUGUCUAAAAUUCUUCUCUUUGUCUUAGAAAUUGAGAGAGAUGAACUGGUGACCAUGGAGUUUUCAGUCAUGUCAACGUGGCCUUUCCUUUCUCUGACUUCAAAUCAUCAAUAA
rnacentral:lncRNA from 12 species